ensembl:lncRNA
CAAGGCUCGGACUUAGUAGUACCGUAGUAAGAGGUCCACUGAGUCCACUGUCAUGGCGACGCUGAGCUGUAACACUCGUCUGUGCCUCAGAGCUGUGGCACUUGGCUAUAGCGCUGAGCUGUUCCGCUUUGCCACAACAACUGUAAGAACAUACAACUGGCUCCAGUUUGACUAUUUUAGAUUCCACAUAAUCCACAUCAACAAGCCAAGAGGGAGAAGAGAAGAGGUCAAGGGACAAAAGUGUCCACUCUCAGCGGAGUCAGCCCUCUUUCCAGUGGUUUUGCAGGAGCCCUUAUUAUUCGCCUCUUGUUGAGACUCCCUUGAACACUUCAUUCCCCUCUGAGAAAUUGCUAAAUGUCAGCCAAAAAUGAAUGCUGCAGGAUCUUGGAGAAUCUGACAAAUGAUGGACACUGAUAGCCCAUUCUGUGGCGAGUUACUCAGAGGGACAGAGAGAACCUGAUUUGGGAGCUGUCCCUGGCAAGUGACCAAGAUAGCCUAAGGUGAUCACAUGAUGGGUCUGCUGGAUAGAGGUCUUCCAACCAGCCCAUGACAUUCAUUUUCUGGAGAGAAUAUUAGAAUUGGAGAAGGUUGUGUCAUUAUUCUAAGAUUCCUUAAGGAGGGCAAUGGGAGCAGAAGUGAACCUCCAAUUCAGGAAGCAGUGGGAGCUCCACUUCACCUAACUCUCAGCUGUCCUUAAGUGUGAACUGAAACCGGAAAACAGAGACAGUGUGGGGACAGCUUGCGACAAGUCUCAUCUUGUCAGAGUGGAGCUGACGAUGUUGGCAGUGUCCAGUGGCCUCGAAUCUACAGCAUGACUGGAGGCCCUGGGGCCUAACACUGGCAGCUAGGAGCUGUGGUGGAACUGGAGCCCGUGGCAGAGAGAGGAGAGGAGAGGAGCCAGAGUUCUGGGAGCAGAAACACCAGGAAGGAAGAAGAGCGCACGCUGGACCGCACGGCUGCUAGCCAAGAAGGGUUGGGGCAGCCUGGAAGUGGUUCUUGGAACAGGACGAGAAAACAACACCUUGAAAACCCAGUGCUAAGGAUUCAAAGGCUGCCGAGAUGGUGAUGGAAGAGAGCUGGCCCUGAAGACAAGAGGAGUUUGCUGGAAAUGAGCUGCUGAAUAAUUUAUCAUGAAUUGAAAAGUCAAGGCCUUAAGUGAGGCAUGGUGAAACCAGAGGACUCAGAGGUAAACACGGCGAGGAUAUAAGUUUUGAGAGAACAUUAUCAAGAGGAACGACUAGCUGGAAGGAAGAGGAGGCAGAAAGCCCCCAGUUGAGGGUGGGCUGAGUUGGACGGGGGCUGCGGGUGGGGACAGAGCCCAGAAGAGGCAGCAGAGCAGACCUUGCCUUUGAGGCCCUGUGUCUCGGCCGAAGGUAAGGAGAAGCUUGGAAAGAGAUGGUGAAUUGUUAGGAACAAAAUGAGGGUUGCUGAGUAGGAGUCAUGAGAAAACCAGACCAGUGAGUCCAGGAAGGCUUCCUGGAGGAGGCUGGAACCAGGCCUGGAAGGGGAAUUUCAUCAGAUGAGCUGUGAAGGUGCAGUGGGAGAGAAGCUGAAGAAACUGGUGUUAGGCGCAGGCUGAAGAACACCAUGUGGAAGCAGGGGGAGCCCCUGCAGAUUCUUUGACAGGAACUUGACAUUCGUUCAUUCACUCAUUCGUUCAGCAAAUACUCAUUGUGUCACUGAGUAGCUGUGUUCCACUAGCACUGUG